CACCGGCAGCUCUAGUGGUAGCUGUUUUUAUUGGGCCUAAAGCGUUCGUAGCCGGUUUAAUAAGUCUUUGGUGAAAUCUUGUAGCUUAACUGCGGGAAUUGCUGAGGAUACUGUUAGGCUUGAGGUCGGGAGAGGCUAGCGGUACUCCGGGGGUAGGGGUGAAAUCCUGUAAUCCUUGGAGGACCACCUGUGGCGAAGGCGGCUAGCUGGAACGAACCUGACGGUGAGGGACGAAAGCCAGGGGCGCGAA
rnacentral:rRNA from 1 species